rnacentral:rRNA from 1 species
AGAGUUUGAUCCUGGCUCAGAACGAACGCUGGCGGCAGGCUUAACACAUGCAAGUCGAACGCGUGUAGCAAUACACGAGUGGCGCACGGGUGAGUAACACGUGGAUUAUCUGCUCUUGGUUCGGAAUAACCCCGGGAAACUGGGGCUAAUACCGAAUGGUUCCUACGGGAUAAAGAUUUAUCGCCAAGAGAUGAGUCCGC